rnacentral:rRNA from 1 species
CCUACGGGUGGCAGCAGUGGGGAAUAUUGCACAAUGGGGGAAACCCUGAUGCAGCGACGCCGCGUGAGUGAAGAAGCAUCUCGGUACGUAAAGCCCUAUCAGCAGGGAAGAAAAUGACGGUACCUGACUAAGAAGCCCCGGCUAACUACGUGCCAGCAGCCGCGGUAAUACGUAGGGGGCAAGCGUUAUCCGGAUUUACUGGGUGUAAAGGGAGCGCAGACGGCAGUGCAAGUCUGAAGUGAAAUCCCAGGGCUUAACCAUGGGACUGCUUUGGAAACUGUGUGGCUGGAGUGCAGGAGGGGUAGGCGGAAUUCCUGGUGUAGCGGUGAAAUGCGUAGAUAUUAGGAGGAACACCAGUGGCGAAGGCGGCUUGCUGGACUGUAACUGACGUUGAGGCUCGAAAGCGUGGGGAGCAAACAGGAUUAGAUACCCGGGUAGUC